rnacentral:snRNA from 1 species
AAAACUUUUCCCCAAAAAAAAAAAAAAAAAAAUCUGUUCUUAUCAGUUUAAUAUCUGAUACGUCCCCCAUCGGGGGACUACAUAUUAAAUGGAUUUUUCGAACAGGGAGUCGGAAAUGGGGCUUGCUCCGUCCGCUCCACGCAUCGACCCGGUAUUGCAGUACCUCCGGGAACGGUGCAACACUU